GACGUAGGGCGCGAGCGUUUGUCCGGAUUUAUUGGGCGUAAAGAGCUCGUAGGCGGCUUGUCGCGUCGGACUGUGAAAUCCCGCGGCUCAACUGCGGGGUCUGCAGUCGAUACGGGCAGGCGUAGAGUUCGGGUUAGGGGGAGACUGGGAAUUCCGCGUGUAGUGGUGAAAUGGCGUAGAGAUCGGCAGGGAACACCCCAGGGGGAAACCGACGCCGCCUGGGCAAGCGCUGACGCUG
rnacentral:rRNA from 1 species